rnacentral:rRNA from 1 species
UAGUGGCGAACGGGUGAGUAACACGUGGGCAAUCUGCCCUGCACUCUGGGACAAGCCCUGGAAACGGGGUCUAAUACCGGAUAUGAGCCUCUUCCGCAUGGUUGAGGUUGUAAAGCUCCGGCGGUGCAGGAUGAGCCCGCGGCCUAUCAGCUUGUUGGUGAGGUAACGGCUCACCAAGGCGACGACGGGUAGCCGGCCUGAGAGGGCGACCGGCCACACUGGGACUGAGACACGGCCCAGACUCCUACGGGAGGCAGCAGUGGGGAAUAUUGCACAAUGGGCGAAAGCCUGAUGCAGCGACGCCGCGUGAGGGAUGACGGCCUUCGGGUUGUAAACCUCUUUCAGCAGGGAAGAAGCGAAAGUGACGGUACCUGCAGAAGAAGCGCCGGCUAACUACGUGCCAGCAGCCGCGGUAAUACGUAGGGCGCAAGCGUUGUCCGGAAUUAUUGGGCGUAAAGAGCUCGUAGGCGGCUUGUCACGUCGGUUGUGAAAGCCCGGGGCUUAACCCCGGGUCUGCAGUCGAUACGGGCAGGCUAGAGUUCGGUAGGGGAGAUCGGAAUUCCU